AUGAACGCUAGCUACAGGCUUAACACAUGCAAGUCGAGGGGCAGCAUGGUCUUAGCUUGCUAAGACUGAUGGCGACCGGCGCACGGGUGAGUAACACGUAUCCAACCUGCCGUCUACUCUUGGACAGCCUUCUGAAAAGAAGAUUAAUACAAGAUGGCAUCAUGAGUCCGCAUGUUCACAUGAUUAAAGGUAUUCCGGUAGACGAUGGGGAUGCGUUCCAUUAGAUAGUAGGCGGGGUAACGGCCCACCUAGUCUUCGAUGGAUAGGGGUUCUGAGAGGAAGGUCCCCCACAUUGGAACUGAGACACGGUCCAAACUCCUACGGGAGGCAGCAGUGAGGAAUAUUGGUCAAUGGGCGAGAGCCUGAACCAGCCAAGUAGCGUGAAGGAUGACUGCCCUAUGGGUUGUAAACUUCUUUUAUAAAGGAAUAAAGUCGGGUAUGUAUACCCGUUUGCAUGUACUUUAUGAAUAAGGAUCGGCUAACUCCGUGCCAGCAGCCGCGGUAAUACGGAGGAUCCGAGCGUUAUCCGGAUUUAUUGGGUUUAAAGGGAGCGUAGAUGGAUGUUUAAGUCAGUUGUGAAAGUUUGCGGCUCAACCGUAAAAUUGCAGUUGAUACUGGAUAUCUUGAGUGCAGUUGAGGCAGGCGGAAUUCGUGGUGUAGCGGUGAAAUGCUUAGAUAUCACGAAGAACUCCGAUUGCGAAGGCAGCCUGCUAAGCUGCAACUGACAUUGAGGCUCGAAAGUGUGGGUAUCAAACAGGAUUAGAUACCCUGGUAGUCCACACGGUAAACGAUGAAUACUCGCUGUUUGCGAUAUACGGCAAGCGGCCAAGCGAAAGCGUUAAGUAUUCCACCUGGGGAGUACGCCGGCAACGGUGAAACUCAAAGGAAUUGACGGGGGCCCGCACAAGCGGUGGAGUAUGUGGUUUAAUUCGAUGCAACGCGAAGAACCUUACCUGGUCUUGACAUCCACGGAAGUUUUCAGAGAUGAGAAUGUGCCUUCGGGAACCGUGAGACAGGUGCUGCAUGGCUGUCGUCAGCUCGUGUUGUGAAAUGUUGGGUUAAGUCCCGCAACGAGCGCAACCCUUAUCCUUUGUUGCCAGCGGUCCGGCCGGGAACUCAAAGGAGACUGCCAGUGAUAAACUGGAGGAAGGUGGGGAUGACGUCAAAUCAUCAUGCCCCUUAUGACCUGGGCUACACACGUACUACAAUGGCUAUAACAAAGAGAAGCGAGACAGUGAUGUGGAGCAAAACUCAAAAAAAUAGUCUCAGUUCGGAUUGAAGGCUGAAAUUCGCCUUCAUGAAGCUGGAAUUGCUAGUAAUGGCAGGUCAGCAUACUGCCGUGAAUACGUUCCCGGGCCUUGUACACACCGCCCGUCACACCAUGAGAGUUGGGGAUACCCGAAGCCUGUGAGCCAACAUAUCUAUGAGGCAGCAGUCGAAGGUAGAAUCAAUGAUUGGGGUG
rnacentral:rRNA from 1 species